rnacentral:rRNA from 1 species
AUUGAACGCUGGCGGCAGGCCUAACACAUGCAAGUCGAGCGAGCGGCGGAAGGGUGAGUAAUGUAUGGGGACUGCCCGAUAGAGGGGGCUAACUACUGGAAACGGUGGCUAAUACCGCAUACUGUAGGAUAACCCAUAUGGGAUUACCUCGUAGGUAAGGUAAUGGCUUAACUAGGCGACGAUCCCUAGCUGGUCUGAGAGGAUAAUCAGCCACACUGGGACUGAGACACGGCCCAGACUCCUACGGAGGCAGCAGUUGGGAAUAUUGCACAAUGGGCGCAAGCCUGAUGCAGCCAUGCCGCGUGUAUGAAGAAGGCCCUAGGGUUGUAAAGCACUUUAAGUUGGGAGGCGUUACCAACAGAAUAAGCACCGGCUAACUUCGUGCCAGCAGCCGCGGUAAUAC